rnacentral:rRNA from 1 species
AGAGUUUGAUCCUGGCUCAGGAUGAACGCUGACAGAAUGCUUAACACAUGCAAGUCGACUGGAAUUCACCUUCGGGUGAUAGUACGGUGGCGGACGGGUGAGUAACGCGUAAAGAACUUGCCCUCUAGACCGGGACAACUGUUGGAAACGACAGCUAAUACCGGAUAUUAUGGGAACCUCGCAUGGGGAACUUAUGAAAGCUAUAUGCGCUAGAGGAGAGCUUUGCGUGCCAUUAGGUAGUUGGUAGGGUAAUGGCCUACCAAGCCGACGAUGGCUAGCCGGCCUGAGAGGGGGAUGAGCAGCCACACUGGGACUGAGACACGGCCCAGACUCCUACGGGAGGCAGCAGUGGGGAAUUUUCCGCAAUGGGCGAAAGCCUGACGGAGCAAUACCGCGUGAGGGAGGAAGGCCUUUGGGUUGUAAACCUCUUUUCUCAGGGAAGAAGAUCUGACGGUACCUGAGGAAUAAGCAUCGGCUAACUCCGUGCCAGCAGCCGCGGUAAUACGGAGGAUGCAAGCGUUAUCCGGAAUCAUUGGGCGUAAAGCGUCCGCAGGUGGUUUUUCAAGUCUGCUGUUAAAGACUGGAGCUCAACUCCGGAAAGGCAGUGGAAACUGAGAAACUAGAGUUCGGUAGGGGUAGCGGGAAUUCCCAGUGCAGCGGUGAAAUGCGUAGAUAUUGGGAAGAACAUCGGUGGCGAAGGCGCGCUACUGGACCGAAACUGACACUCAGGGACGAAAGCUAGGGGAGCGAAAGGGAUUAGAUACCCCUGUAGUCCUAGCUGUAAACGAUGGAAACUAGGUGUGGCUUGUAUCGACCCGAGCCGUGCCGUAGCUAACGCGUUAAGUUUCCCGCCUGGGGAGUACGCACGCAAGUGUGAAACUCAAAGGAAUUGACGGGGGCCCGCACAAGCGGUGGAGUAUGUGGUUUAAUUCGAUGCAACGCGAAGAACCUUACCAGGGCUUGACAUGUCGCGAAUCUCCUUGAAAGGGGAGAGUGCCUUCGGGAGCGCGAACACAGGUGGUGCAUGGCUGUCGUCAGCUCGUGUCGUGAGAUGUUGGGUUAAGUCCCGCAACGAUCGCAACCCUCGUCUUUAGUUGCCAGCAUUAAGGUGGGCACUUUAGAGAGACUGCCGGUGACAAACCGGAGGAAGGUGGGGAUGACGUCAAGUCAGCAUGCCCCUUACGCCCUGGGCUACACACGUACUACAAUGGUUGGGACAAAGGGCAGCGACCCCGCGAGGGAAAGCGAAUCUCAUCAAACCCAGCCUCAGUUCAGAUUGCAGGCUGCAACUCGCCUGCAUGAAGGAGGAAUCGCUAGUAAUCGCAGGUCAGCAUACUGCGGUGAAUUCGUUCCCGGGCCUUGUACACACCGCCCGUCACACCAUGGAAGCUGGUCACCC